AAAGAUAAGACACAAGAAAGAAAGUGAGGCUGCCAAUAAAGAGGCACAGCAAAGAGAAGUCCCUGACAAUCAUAGAUUCUAGAAAUUCAGGACCACAGAGAUGACAACUACUACUAUAGAACCAACAUACAUUUUCCAUUCAAAGGCUGCCUCUAUUGGGAAAAUUCCAAGUAUGAGAAUUGGUCUCUCUGCUCAGAGCAGUACCUGGAGCAGCACUGAGAAACCCCUAUCCUCAAGAUGGUGUAAAUGGGAUGUUUACUGGCUGGCAGGGUGCAAAACAGAGACAGCGAAAACCGAAGAGAAAAUAAAUGGUACCCUUCAGGAUGUAGCAUCUAUAUUAACUCACAAAACAUUGGUUGGUCUUGCCUGGGGAAUUUUUUUCCAAUCUGUAUGAGUGGAAUGGCUCAAGAUAAAUAAAUGAA